rnacentral:lncRNA from 1 species
UAUGAGGACCACUAACUUUUAAAUUUCUUUACAUGGUUCUUCUUUUUCAAACGAGUGAAAUUUCAUAGAUUUUUUUUUUCAAUUUUUUCUCACCCCUUUCAACUUUUUCCACUAUUCUUACUGUGAUAAACAAAAUAUUAGAGACAACUACGUUUUAAGACGACGCAUAUUCACAUUUUUCAAUAACUUAUGACAACAAAAGCCAUCUCUAAUAUAAUUCUUUACUAAUUAUCUAUAGAAUAUCUCAUCUUAAGCAACAUUGUUUAACAAAUUUUAU